GAUGAACGCUGGCGGCGUGCCUAAUACAUGCAAGUCGAGCGAACAGACGAGGAGCUUGCUCCUCUGACGUUAGCGGCGGACGGGUGAGUAACACGUGGAUAACCUACCUAUAAGACUGGGAUAACUUCGGGAAACCGGAGCUAAUACCGGAUAAUAUAUUGAACCGCAUGGUUCAAUAGUGAAAGACGGUUUUGCUGUCACUUAUAGAUGGAUCCGCGCCGCAUUAGCUAGUUGGUAAGGUAACGGCUUACCAAGGCAACGAUGCGUAGCCGACCUGAGAGGGGGAUCGGCCACACGGGAACGUAGACACGGUCCAGACUCCUACGGGAGGCAGCAGUAGGGAAUCUUCCGCAGUGGGCGAAAGCCUGACGGAGCAACGCCGCGUGAGUGAUGAAGGUCUUCGGAUCGUAAAACUCUGUUAUUAGGGAAGAACAAAUGUGUAAGUAACUAUGCACUUCUUGACGGUACCUAGUCAGAAAGCCACGGCUAACUACGUG
rnacentral:rRNA from 1 species